rnacentral:rRNA from 1 species
GACGAACGCUGGCGGCGUGCUUAACACAUGCAAGUCGAGCGGAGCGGCGAACGGGUGAGUAACGCGUGAGUAACUGCACCCCUCUCUGGGAUAACAGUUGGAAAAGGCUGCUAAUACCGGAUAGUGGGGGAUGACUCGCGUCCUAUCAGCUUUGUGUUGGGGUAGUGGCCUACCAAGGCGACGACGGGUCGCCGGCCUGAGAGGGCGACCGGUCACAUUGGUCCGGUAUACGGCCCAAACUCCGUCGGGAGGCAGCAGUGGGGAAUAUUGCACAAUGGGCGAAACCCUGAUGCAGCAACGUCGCUUGCUUGAUGACGGCCUUCGGGUUGUAAACCGCUUUCAGCCAUGACGCGGUAGUGGCAGAAGAAGCACCGGCUAACUACGUGCCAGCAGCCGCGGUAAUAC